GACGGUUCCGAUAGACGUCGUGUCUUCUACUCAUUUAACGCACUGCGUCGUGGUUUAAACAAAGCAUGUACAGGGCCCAUUUGUCUUUUCUUACCCCCACUUAACCACCUUGAAAAUAAGUUAUUUUCUCUGUCCCGUAACAUUCCUCUCUUAGCUUUUCCAACCACGAAUAAGAUUUAUUCCUGAGACAGCAACUUUUGUUGACCUCAUCCACCAGAGGUGACAAAUGGCUCCACUCUGACAUUAUUUCACAAAAAAGGGGUAUGUUACGCACGUGCUGCACCUCAAGAAAAACCUUUAACAGUUUCAGGUUGGUUGGUUCUGGACUGUCCUUGGUGGAUGUCACUGGGGAGGGGGGUUGAAAGAUGGCAUUAGCUCCAGGUGUCCCAAAAUGAGGUGACUUGAAACGAUACAGGUGUCUUAAUCAGACACAAGGUGCCAAAGAUUGCAGCCAAAACCCCAGGAGUUUUACCUGAGUAAAGAUCCCAGAACCAAGCCCAGAUAUUAAAAUGCUUUCCAUCCAAGAACCAGAAUUGCAGGUAUGUUAGUUUUAAUAAAUCCCUAUUUCAGUAUCUUAGCCCUGGGCAAAGAAAGAUCCAGAAACUGAAAGCCAGGCAUGUAAGUCCAUUGUGGCCUAAGAGUGUUUUGAGUAGAACAUAUUCAGUUGCUGUCAUUUUUUUGGACAAGAAGACAGACCACUAACAAGCAUAAAAAUAAAGGUUUUAAAAAUCACCCUAUUUUGGAAAAUUGUAAGUUUGAACAUUUUGAUUUUUCAGAAGAAUGGAGCAUAGUAUAUUAUUCAAUAAAACAUAAAAAUUUUUACUUAGUUUACACAUCUUAUUUUCUAGCAUAAUUUUUGAUCCUUAAUAUAACCUUGGUGCAUUCUUAGUAGCCUGUAAGCACAUAUGUGAGAACUUAAAUCUGUGAUUUUGCUUUCACAUUUCACCUUCCAAGCCACCUAUUGCUGAUUAGCAGGUGUCAGUUUAUCCAGUGAAAGAACCAUGGUCAAUAAAUUCUUCAUCUUUAUGACAGUUUUGUUCACAUUCAUUAGCAUGUACCGCACCAAGAAAUAUGGACUACAGGGUCACAUGAAAAGGCCAAUGGGUAAAUACCACAAAAGGUCAUUAGUCAAACCAUUCCUUUCCCCUUAAUUUGGGGAGGAGGUGAGAGAAACAGAAUAGUUAUAGUCUGGUAAGUUCUGCAGUCCUGACAGAACGGAACAUGUUUAUACUAAAAUGUAAAACUAAAUAUUUUUUAAUUGUUUUUUAAGGUUCAAUUUCUGUGGGUACCAUAAUUUUUCAUUUCUGGCUAAGAAAUGAGGUGGCACUUACAAAACAUUAAUGCUUGCUCACAUCUGGAUUCACAAUAAAAUGUGCUUUUUGUGCAUGACUAUGUUACUUAAUUCUGGCCAAUAGGAUCUGAGACAUCUACAGUAGUACUUCCAGGAAAUGCUAUCUCUAAUAAUAAAAUUAACUCACGAAAUUUACAUUCCAUCAUUCUUUUUUAGCAGAUAUGGGUCUGUCUGCAUAUGACCCCCGAAACCACUGUAUCCAACAUGUGACCCUGACAAAGAGACAUCUCCGCAUGCCGAAGAUGUCAGAAUGAAAAGAUGCAAGCGGUUACAGAGGCAUUACACACCCUGAGCAGCAAGAGUGGCACUGCCAAGCUCCUUCCCUGGGAACUACACUCAGCAUCAGCAUAUAAAUUUAUGCAAGGGACGGAUCCUGCCUUUCCGGUAGCAGGAGCAUUCCACUGCGUAAGGGCCCCCGGGUUGCCGGACUCAGCGAGACCACAUCACCACUGGAAAGGAAGGAUCAGGCUCGGGAGAGUCUCUCAGACCAGCAUUCCAACGGAGGCAGUGCCUUUACAAAUUCAAGAAAAGAAAAGCGAGGAGGGAGAGAGAAGUGCUCUAAAAUUGGGGUGGGAGUGGUGGAAUGAGUGAGAUGUGUCUGCGAAGGGAAAACUGGGGACUCCUACACCUCAGAAGAGCCGUUCUCCUCAACCGGAGGCCAAACCAGGCCCCCUUUCAAAGAGUCUGGUUUGCUGGUUAGGAGGGAGUUUUUCCCCUAGUAAGGUUUUCUAUGUUCAUAUACAAAGGAUAUCCCGAAACGAUGCUGCCAAGGCACCUAAAUCAGGCUUAGUGUUGAAGAGUGAAAGCAGGUCUAGAUGGAGAAGAACGAGAACAGAAACAGACCAUGGAGACAAUGUUACGAUGUUAGCCCAAGUUUGAGAGAGAAAACCCUCAUGUGAAUCACAAAAAUAACAGGCAGGAAAGGGUUGAGUGAGUGGGAUGUGUCCCUAAAAACCCUUGAGCAGAAUGCAAAGACUGCUGGUAGCACGGACCAAAAGGAAUUUGAAGGAGACAACCGCAUAAAUUGGGCACCAAUUCGGGCUGAAACGAAUAGGCCGAGAGAAGCACGGGAGUGCUCUUCCCAGGUUAACCGAGGGACUGGAGAAAGUGAGAUUUGGCUUUGCUGGAGGGUGGGUGU